CUUUCACAGAGCUCUGCUUCCUCAUGCUGUGACGUCAUCAGCCAGCUGCUACUGAGCUUCCCUGCUCCCUCUGGCAAGUCGCCAUUACAACCCGGUGUUUGCAACUAUCAUUAUAACAGUUCUGUUAGCGUUGUGCCUGACAUAAUACUAAGCCAAAACUAUGGACCCAGCUGGAAUGAACGCACAUGUGCAAAAUAUCACACAGAGGGUUGAUUUAUUAACUGAAGCUGUUAAUACUUUGAAAACAGAAAAUGAUACUGUGCUUCAGACAAACACACUGUCAGGGACUGUCCUUCCCUCCUGAAACAAAACAAGGUGGGAGUCACAUCGAAUCAACGCUCCCGCGAUUAUUGACUCAGGAGCUACAGCCUCCUACAUAGAUACUGUAUUCACUAAAUUCAAUAAAAUUCCACUUGUGCAAAAAA